rnacentral:rRNA from 1 species
AGAGUUUGAUCCUGGCUCAGGAUGAACGCUAGCUACAGGCUUAACACAUGCAAGUCGAGGGGCAGCAUCAUCAAAGCUUGCUUUGAUGGAUGGCGACCGGCGCACGGGUGAGUAACGCGUAUGCAACUUACCUAUCAGAGGGGGAUAACCCGGCGAAAGUCGGACUAAUACCGCAUGAAGCAGGGGCCCCGCAUGGGGAUAUUUGCUGAAGAUUCAUCGCUGAUAGAUAGGCAUGCGUUCCAUUAGGCAGUUGGCGGGGUAACGGCCCACCAAACCGACGAUGGAUAGGGGUUCUGAGAGGAAGGUCCCCCACAUUGGUACUGAGACACGGACCAA